rnacentral:rRNA from 1 species
GAUGAACGCUGGCGGCGUGCCUAAUACAUGCAAGUCGAGCGAACAGACGAGGAGCUUGCUCCUCUGACGUUAGCGGCGGACGGGUGAGUAACACGUGGAUAACCUACCUAUAAGACUGGGAUAACUUCGGGAAACCGGAGCUAAUACCGGAUAAUAUAUUUAACCGCAUGGUUCAAUAGUGAAAGACGGUUUUGCUGUCACUUAUAGAUGGAUCCGCGCCGCAUUAGCUAGUUGGUAAGGUAACGGCUUACCAAGGCAACGAUGCGUAGCCGACCUGAGAGGGGGAUCGGCCACACUGGAACUGAGAAACGGUCCAGACUCCUACGGGAGGCAGCAGUAGGGAAUCUUCCGCAAUGGGCGAAAGCCUGCCGGAGCAACGCCGCGUGAGUGAUGAAGGUCUUCGGAUCGUAAAACUCUGUUAUUAGGGAAGAACAAAUGUGUAAGUAACUAUGCACGUCUUGACGGUACCUAAUCAGAAAGCCACGGCUAACUACGUG